GCGGGCCUUAUUCGUGGGCGGAAAUGACGCAAUAGGAGGAGGAUGGUUUAGGGAGCAGUUCAGCUGGGGUUUGUUGGGUGUUGAUUUUCAUCUCGCACUCUUUUUCAAGUGUAUGCCUGGUUUCGUCACAGUUUUUCCUUAUGUACUUAGUACAGAUGAGACUUUCCUGGUGAUGGCAUUCUGUGUCCCUUUAUCCCCUAAACAGACACUCAGAAGCUGCUAUUGCUAAAAAGCAUUGACUUCUCUCUUGGGGCCCUGGGGUGACAAAGAUGAAGUUUGGCGUUUCCGCUUUCCUUUUUGUGUCUGCUGAAAACAGUAAUCUUGGUGCCCUACAAAAGAACAAAGCAAAGUAGCUCAUAGGGCUUUCGUGGUUUUUGCUUUUUGUUCUUUCAAGACAGGGUUUCUCUGCUUAGUUCUAGAACUCACUUUAUAGACCAGGCUGGCUUCGAACUCAGAGAUCCGACUGCCUCUGCCUCCCGAGUGCUGGAAUUAAAGGCAUGCGCCGCCGCCGCCGCCGCCGCCGCCGCCGCCAGACUGGGCUUUCAGGUUUUAAAGGUGUGUCAGGAUCCAAACUAAGGCAGGAGGUUCAUUCACUGGUUUUUAUUUUAACAGGUGGUGGCUAUGUCUUUUCCUCAUUGGCUGGGGUCUGACGUUCGAGAUUGGUUAGUCUUUCAAAACUAACUUUAAGGGAAAAAGGUAAAGGGGUCUGUCUAUGCUCCAGGCAGCAGGAAACUCUGGAGGGGAAAAGAUGUGUGUGUGUGUGUGUGUGUUUUUUUAAGUUUACCAAGUUGGGGAGAUUUAUGGAAUAUUGGUCGAUGGCAGACUACCUGCCUUUAUUAGAAAAACAAUAUCAACAAAACCUCUCACGUCUCCUUUACUUUCUUUCAGAUACCUGUGCACUUCUGUGGAAGCAGAGUGCUUAUCUACCUAUUUCAAACCCCUUCAAGUUGAAGGCUCAAAAAAGUCAUUGUGGUCACCUUGAUAGGGAUGGAAGUUGGGAAAAUUUGUUGAAAUCACAGUGAAACAUCUUAAUCAUCACAUCUGUUCACAGUCUGAAGGAGGAGAAGGUACUGCGCUCUCAGGAACUCUGCAUGGAUUCCUCAGCAGCCCCGGGUCUCUUCACUUGUUCACUUGCUGCUGUAUGUGCAGAAGGAAUUCAUAAUAAGACAGUGCGGAUUCCGUUCUGUCUUCUACCAGGUUCUGAAGGAAGGCUGCUUUCAUCGGACUCUCCUCCCUUAGAAAUAAAAGGCAAGAAUGUUCAUGUACGUUA